AGGUGGAGCGAUCACAUGGUACUGGCCGUCAACGCCAUGUUUUGUAGAAUAUCAGGAAAAGCGAGACCGUUCAGCUACUAAACAGAGUGAAGAUUUUAGUAUCUCCUAGGAUCCUCUUCAGCAAGGACAUGUAAAGUCUGAAAGAAAGAGAACACCUAAAGUUCCAUUGCUG